CGGAAUUAUUUCCGUUAUCGAUUUUAUCGAAUGAUCCGUGUUCCAUUGAAAGAAAUUGGGCUUAGUAAAAGUUCGGCAAGCAUGUGCGUUAUCGCAUUACCGAGUGUGUCUAAUAUUCUUUUAUAAACAGGAUUUAACUUAUAAAGUUUGGUUGCUGUAAUCCUUUACAAUUUACUGUACAGAUAUGAAGAUGUUUGUUUAAUACCAUAGUUGGAUAAGAAGAUGGUGACCGAUUUUGACUGGUCUUCACUGAACAUUGGCUUCCAAAAAGUUGAAACUUCAUAAGAAAUGGAUAAAAUAUGAACAGCUCAAUAUGUACAGACAGAACAAAUAUAAUUAUGUACAACUGCAUUU